UGGGGAAUAUUGGACAAUGGGCGCAAGCCUGAUCCAGCAAUGCCGCGUGUGUGAAGAAGGCCUUCGGGUUGUAAAGCACUUUAGGCUGGGAGGAAGUGUAGUAGUUUAAGAGACAACUGCAUUGACUGUACCGGCAGAAUAAGCACCGGCUAACUCUGUGCCAGCAGCCGCGGUAAUACAGAGGGUGCAAGCGUUAAUCGGAGUUACUGGGCGUAAAGGGCGCGUAGGCGGUUUGUUAAGUGAGAUGUGAAAUCCCUGGGCUUAACCUAGGAACUGCAUCUCAUACUGAUGAGCUAGAGUAUUGUAGAGGGUAGUGGAAUUUCCGGUGUAGCGGUGAAAUGCGUAGAGAUCGGAAGGAACACCAGUGGCGAAGGCGGCUACCUGGACAAAUACUGACGCUGAGGCGCGAGAGCGUGGGGAGCAAACA
rnacentral:rRNA from 1 species